GUCGAACGAUGAUGCCCAGCUUGCUGGGCGGAUUAGUGGCGAACGGGUGAGUAAUACGUGAGUAACCUGCCCUUGACUCUGGGAUAAGCCUGGGAAACUGGGUCUAAUACUGGAUACUACCUCUUACCGCAUGGUGGGUGGUGGAAAGGGUUUUACUGGUUUUGGAUGGGCUCACGGCCUAUCAGCUUGUUGGUGGGGUAAUGGCUCACCAAGGCGACGACGGGUAGCCGGCCUGAGAGGGUGACCGGCCACACUGGGACUGAGACACGGCCCAGACUCCUACGGGAGGCAGCAGUGGGGAAUAUUGCACAAUGGGCGGAAGCCUGAUGCAGCGACGCCGCGUGAGGGAUGACGGCCUUCGGGUUGUAAACCUCUUUCAGUAGGGAAGAAGCGAGAGUGACGGUACCUGCAGAAGAAGCGCCGGCUAACUACGUGCCAGCAGCCGCGGUAAUACGUAGGGCGCAAGCGUUGUCCGGAAUUAUUGGGCGUAAAGAGCUCGUAGGCGGUUUGUCGCGUCUGCUGUGAAAGCCCGGGGCUCAACCCCGGGUCUGCAGUGGGUACGGGCAGACUAGAGUGCAGUAGGGGAGACUGGAAUUCCUGGUGUAGCGGUGAAAUGCGCAGAUAUCAGGAGGAACACCGAUGGCGAAGGCAGGUCUCUGGGCUGUUACUGACGCUGA
rnacentral:rRNA from 1 species